UUGGUUUGUUUCCGGUGGAUGGCUCUUUGCUUUUUGCAACAACUUCCACCUGGCAUACCUCUUCAGUUAUUGUCAAGGUUGAAUAUCCUUGUGAGCAAUUGGUUCCUGUGUUGCCUACCGAUUUGAUGGUACUGUGUGGUUUUAAAAUGCAUGUUUUCAUUUUGCAUCGAACGUGUUGCGUGUGAUGAACAUCAAAGCGGUUUCUCUGAUCUACCUUGAUGCUCAUGCCAUUAUGAUGUGGCUCAUUGAUUUUUGCUUGGUCUUAUGUGUACGGAACAAGAUAUGGGCAUGGGUUUUCGUGAUCCUUUGUUUUGCUCUCGUUGGACGUUAUUUCUCAAAGACGGCAUCCUAAUCCGAAUUGGCUCGUAUUACCGGGUAGGAUACGCUGUUGUUGAAUUAUAAUAAUGUUCUUUCUUUUUUAAAUCGAACUGCCUACCCUGUAGUGUUUCGUACCAGCAGGUAGGUUAUGUCGAAGAGGAUGCUACCUGGUUGAUCCUGCCAGUAGUCAUAUGCUUGUCUCAA
rnacentral:misc_RNA from 1 species